UACGUAGGGGGCAAGCGUUGUCCGGAUUUAUUGGGCGUAAAGAGCGUGUAGGCGGCCAGAUAGGUCCGUUGUGAAAACUCGAGGCUCAACCUCGAGACGCCGAUGGAAACCAUUUGGCUAGAGUCCGGAAGAGGAGAGUGGAAUUCCUGGUGUAGCGGUGAAAUGCGCAGAUAUCAGGAAGAACACCCGUGGCUAAGGCGGCUCUCUAGUACGGUACUGACGCUGAGACGCGAAAGCGUGGGGGAGCGAACAGG
rnacentral:rRNA from 1 species